GGGGACGAACAGGCUUCGACGGGGGUAUUGAAGCGGAGUGAAGCAGGCCGAGGUUCCGGGAUGCCUCGUUAAACAGCUCGGACAACAAUCAAGUGCCAACGAUUAUUCGUACGCACUGGCCGCUUAAUAAAUAACGCGGCUCGUCUUCAUCGGAAUUAGUCCGCCGGUUUCAAUGAAGGCGUCGUUUUCAGCGGACUGGCUGAUACUGCGCCGGGCAGUGUCAGUGAGAUAACACCGGCUGGCUGAUUGAAUGCGGUGUCUGUUUCGGAUUCGAUCGGCGAGAUUUUAAAACGGACUAAGCUUGUAGAAGCCUUCGGGGCUUAUCUUCGGACGCGGGUUCAAUUCCCGCCGUCUCCACAU
rnacentral:tmRNA from 1 species